GACGAACGCUGGCGGCGUGCUUAACACAUGCAAGUCGAACGGAAAGGCCCUGCUUUUGUGGGGUGCUCGAGUGGCGAACGGGUGAGUAACACGUGAGUAACCUGCCCUUGACUUUGGGAUAACUUCAGGAAACUGGGGCUAAUACCGGAUAGGAGCUCCUGCUGCAUGGUGGGGGUUGGAAAGUUUCGGCGGUUGGGGAUGGACUCGCGGCUUAUCAGCUUGUUGGUGGGGUAGUGGCUUACCAAGGCUUUGACGGGUAGCCGGCCUGAGAGGGUGACCGGCCACAUUGGGACUGAGAUACGGCCCAGACUCCUACGGGAGGCAGCAGUGGGGAAUAUUGCACAAUGGGCGGAAGCCUGAUGCAGCAACGCCGCGUGCGGGAUGACGGCCUUCGGGUUGUAAACCGCUUUCGCCUGUGACGAAGCGUGAGUGACGGUAAUGGGUAAAGAAGCACCGGCUAACUACGUGCCAGCAGCCGCGGUGAUACGUAGGGUGCGAGCGUUGUCCGGAUUUAUUGGGCGUAAAGGGCUCGUAGGUGGUUGAUCGCGUCGGAAGUGUAAUCUUGGGGCUUAACCCUGAGCGUGCUUUCGAUACGGGUUGACUUGAGGAAGGUAGGGGAGAAUGGAAUUCCUGGUGGAGCGGUGGAAUGCGCAGAUAUCAGGAGGAACACCAGUGGCGAAGGCGGUUCUCUGGGCCUUUCCUGACGCUGAGGAGCGAAAGCGUGGGGAGCGAACAGGCUUAGAUACUCUGGUAGUCCACGCUGUAAACGGUGGGUACUAGGUGUGGGGUCCAUUCCACGGGUUCCGUGCCGUAGCUAACGCUUUAAGUACCCCGCCUGGGGAGUACGGCCGCAAGGCUAAAACUCAAAGGAAUUGACGGGGCCCCGCACAAGCGGCGGAGCAUGCGGAUUAAUUCGAUGCAACGCGUAGAACCUUACCUGGGUUUGACAUGGAUCGGGAGUGCUCAGAGAUGGGUGUGCCUCUUUUGGGGUCGGUUCACAGGUGGUGCAUGCCUGUCGUCAGCUCGUGUCGUGAGAUGUUGGGUUAAGUCCCGCAACGAGCGCAACCCUUGUUCACUGUUGCCAGCACGUUAUGGUGGGGACUCAGUGGAGACCGCCGGGGUCAACUCGGAGGAAGGUGGGGAUGACGUCAAGUCCUCAUGCCCCUUAUGUCCAGGGCUUCACGCAUGCUACAAUGGCUGGUACAGAGAGUGGCGAGCCUGUGAGGGUGAGCGAAUCUCGGAAAGCCGGUCUCAGUUCGGAUUGGGGUCUGCAACUCGACCUCAUGAAGUCGGAGUCGCUAGUAAUCGCAGAUCAGCAACGCUGCGGUGAAUACGUUCCCGGGGCU
rnacentral:rRNA from 1 species